AGAUAUUUUGUCACAGCAACAAAAGGAUGAUCAACACAAAGGAUAAAGAAAUGAAGGUUCUUGAUCAGUUACUGAAAUAGGUAGAGUAUUGUGGAAUAAGUGUCACGCGAAGAAACAUACAGGAACAUACAGGAAGCCACAAGAGACAAGGACAGGAUGGAGUAAAGAAGCUUCAAACCAAGGAACACCAGAAGGUUGUCAUACCGCAAAGUGGAGUAGACCGUACGCUUGUAGGACAUUGCGGAAAAUACAGCAUUGCCCACACCUUA